rnacentral:rRNA from 1 species
AUGAUUAUGAUGAGAUGCGCUCUUUGGAUAGCGCCGGUCGAAAUAUGGCAACAUAUCUCCGGUUGGUGGCCUGUAUAUAUGGCACUAGCUAGCAAGCAUGUCGACGCCACGACGGACGGAAGCUGGGUGGGUGCAUAUCUAGCUUUGUGUGAUCGAUCGUCCUGUUGUAAACUGAGGUGGGUCACUACUCACUCGCCGGCCGUUCUAUCUGACAGAGCACCAAAGCAGUUCACAAGUGGUCGAUAUGAUUCACUAGUUCACAAGUGUUUCUUGUCCACCUUCUGGCGAGCAGAUAUUUCAUUGCUUCUGCUUGCCUUUAUGAAAAGAAACUUGAUCUUCUGUUAG